rnacentral:rRNA from 1 species
GACAGAGGUGCCGAGCGUUAGGCGGAAUCACUGGGCUUAAAGCGUGUGUAGGCGGGCGGGCAAGUACCUUGUGAAAUCCCACGGCUCAACCGUGGAACGGCUGGGUAUACUGCCCGUCUUGAGCCAACUAGGGGCGAGCGGAACAGACGGUGGAGCGGUGAAAUGCGUAGAUAUCGUCUGGAACGCCGAAGGUGAAAACAGCUCGCUGGGGUUGUGCUGACACUGAGACACGAAAGCCAGGGGAGCGAACGGG